rnacentral:misc_RNA from 1 species
GAUGAAGAACGUAGUGAAAUGCGAUAAGUAAUGUGAAUUGCAGAAUUCAGUGAAUCAUCGAAUCUUUGAACGCACCUUGCGCUCCUUGGUAUUCCGAGGAGCAUGCCUGUUUGAGUGUCAUGAAAUUCUCAACCCUUUCAGCUUUCUUUGUUGAUCAGGCUUGGAUGUGGGAGUAUGCGGGCUUCUCAGAAGUCGGCUCUCCUGAAAUGCAUUAGCGGGACCUUUGUUGCCUGGCUUUGGUGUGAUAAUUAUCUACGCCAUUGUAGUCAAGCAGCUUAAAAUGAGGUUUCAGCUUCUAACCGUCUCCCCUGAGACAACUUUUUGACAAUUUGACCUCAAAUCAGGUAGGACUACCCGCUGAACUUAAGCAUAUCAAUAAGCGGAGGA